rnacentral:rRNA from 1 species
AGUGAACGCUGGCGGUAGGCCUAACACAUGCAAGUCGAACGGCAGCACAGUAAGAGCUUGCUCUUACGGGUGGCGAGUGGCGGACGGGUGAGGAAUACAUCGGAAUCUACUUUUUCGUGGGGGAUAACGUAGGGAAACUUACGCUAAUACCGCAUACGACCUACGGGUGAAAGCAGGGGAUCUUCGGACCUUGCGCGAUUGAAUGAGCCGAUGUCGGAUUAGCUAGUUGGCGGGGUAAAGGCCCACCAAGGCGACGAUCCGUAGCUGGUCUGAGAGGAUGGUCAGCCACACUGGAACUGAGACACGGUCCAGACUCCUAAGGGAGGCAGCAGUGGGGAAUAUUGGGCAAUGGGCGCAAGCCUGAUCCAGCCAGACCGCGUGGGUGAAGAAGGCCUUCGGGUUGUAAAGCCCUUUUGUUGGGAAAGAAAAGCAGCAGGUUAAUACCCCGCUGUUCUGACGGUACCCAAAGAAUAAGCACCGGCUAACUUCGUG